UGGCUCAGUGGUUAAGAGCAUGGACUGCUAUUCUAUAGGUCCUGAGUUCAAUUCCCAG
rnacentral:tRNA from 1 species